UAGUGGCGAACGGGUGAGUAACACGUGGGCAAUCUGCCCUUCACUCUGGGACAAGCCCUGGAAACGGGGUCUAAUACCGGAUAAUACCUGCCUGGGCAUCUGGGUGGGUUAAAAGCUCCGGCGGUGAAGGAUGAGCCCGCGGCCUAUCAGCUUGUUGGUGAGGUAGUGGCUCACCAAGGCGACGACGGGUAGCCGGCCUGAGAGGGCGACCGGCCACACUGGGACUGAGACACGGCCCAGACUCCUACGGGAGGCAGCAGUGGGGAAUAUUGCACAAUGGGCGAAAGCCUGAUGCAGCGACGCCGCGUGAGGGAUGACGGCCUUCGGGUUGUAAACCUCUUUCAGCAGGGAAGAAGCGAGAGUGACGGUACCUGCAGAAGAAGCGCCGGCUAACUACGUGCCAGCAGCCGCGGUAAUACGUAGGGCGCAAGCGUUGUCCGGANUUAUUGGGCGUAAAGAGCUCGUAGGCGGCUUGUCACGUCGGGUGUGAAAGCCCGGGGCUUAACCCCGGNUNNUGCAUUUCGAUACGGGCUAGCUAGAGUGUGGUAGGGGAGAUCGGAAUUCCU
rnacentral:rRNA from 1 species